rnacentral:rRNA from 1 species
UACGAAGGGGGGCUAGCGUUGCUCGGAAUCACUGGGCGUAAAGGGUGCGUAGGCGGGUCUUUUAAGUCAGGGGUGAAAUCCUGGAGCUCAACUCCAGAACUGCCUUUGAUACUGAGGAUCUUUGAGUCCGGGAGAGGUGAGUGGAACUGCGAGUGUAGAGGUGAAAUUCGUAGAUAUUCGCAAGAACACCAGUGGCGAAGGCGGCUCACUGGCCCGGUACUGACGCUGAGGCACGAAAGCGUGGGGAGCAAACAGG